CAUCGUUUAAAGCAUUUAAACAUACAACCCAGCGUUUGCAUUCCUAGUAUCCCAACAGACCUUUCAUGUAGCACCUGCUCUGCAUAUGCCAUGCUAAGAGGCUCUUUCCAGUGAAUCUGUCAGAUGGUCAUUGAAGUGUGAUGCCAUAACAAGCAGAAGACAGCCAUCUGGCUCAAGGUCACACUUAUUUCCCAGGCAGUCAUCAUCCGAUGACUGACCAAAGUCGGGGUAUAAAGGCCAGGACCCCUUGCUUAAAGUGGAGGAUGUCUGAAGGCCACUCAGUUUCCAGAGCUCAUUUCAGAUAUGAGGUCUUGCCAUAUCUGGUCUCGUACUCCUGGGCUCAAGCAAUCAUCCCACCUUGGGCUCCCAAAAUGCUUGGAUUACAGGUGUGAGCCACCAUGCCUGGCCUUAAACCUCUCUUGAGACGGCUUUAGGCUUCCGGGGCCAGCAGGGGGCUGAUGGCAACCAUCUGUGGGCUGAGAAGAGGAGCCCAUGAAGG
rnacentral:lncRNA from 13 species